rnacentral:ncRNA from 2 species
CGAUCUGCAGCGGGAGAGCUCUGCCGUUGACGCAACACCGGCAGGCGCCGUAGGAGCAAAUCCUCCCCAGGAAUCUCUCAGGCGAAAGUACCGCUGCGGUUAG